UACAGAGGUCUCAAGCGUUGUUCGGAAUCACUGGGCGUAAAGGGUGCGUAGGCCGCACGGAAAGUCAGAGGUGAAAUCCCGGAGCUCAACUUCGGAAUUGCCUCCGAUACUCCCGUGCUUGAGGACUGGAGAGGAGUCUGGAAUUCACAGUGGAGCAGUGAAAUGCGUAGAUAUUGUGAGGAACACUAGUGGCGAAGGCGAGACUCUGGACAGUUCCUGACGCUGAGGCACGAAGGCCAGGGAGCAAACGGG
rnacentral:rRNA from 1 species